rnacentral:rRNA from 1 species
GUGGGGAAUAUUGGACAAUGGGGGGAACCCUGAUCCAGCCAUGCCGCGUGUGUGAAGAAGGCCUUUUGGUUGUAAAGCACUUUAAGCGAGGAGGAGGCUACCGAGAUUAAUACUCUUGGAUAGUGGACGUUACUCGCAGAAUAAGCACCGGCUAACUCUGUGCCAGCAGCCGCGGUAAUACAGAGGGUGCAAGCGUUAAUCGGAUUUACUGGGCGUAAAGCGCGCGUAGGUGGCCAAUUAAGUCAAAUGUUAAAUCCUCGAGCUUAACUUGGGAAUUGCAUUCGAUACUGGUUGGCUAGAGUAUGGGAGAGGAUGGUAGAAUGCCAGGUGUAGCGGUGAAAUGCGUAGAGAUCUGGAGGAAUACCGAUGGCGAAGGCAGCCAUCUGGCCUAAUACUGACACUGAGGUGCGAAAGCAUGGGGAGCAAACAGGAUUAGAUACCCCUGUAGUCC